GGCCGAAGUACCGCGAGACUUCGCGCGGCGGAGAGGGGUACUGCGGGAAGGGACUCACUUCUUUACCACAGUUUACGGAUCAGCAAGUGUGAGAAGCCAACGCCUCGUCUAGUCAGAUGCUGGCCAAUCCCGAGCGCCAGUCCGCCUCGGCCCCGCCCACCAGUGGAGGACGGGCCAAUCCCUUCGAGGCUGGUGAGUGAGUCCGUCGGUUUGAGUGCUGAGCAGAAAGGAGCUUAGAAGAAAACGCAGCGAGCCUAGAACGAGCAAAUGCCAGAGAACACAAACACAAAAACAUGAGACAAAACCAGCAAGAUCACCCUCCAACUGGGCCACUCCCAAACCCUCUCCCUUCACUGACUGCAUCAGAAGGCUGCAGAUUUUGAGGAUCAAGCAAUUCCUGGCAAAGAGACAAAAGUGGAAUUGUCCCAAAAUCAAUGGAUUUGGAUGAAAAUUGGUAGUAGAACCAAUUACAACUGCAAGAGAAGACAUUGGAGAAGCACCAGUUCGGGUCUCUAAGGAAUUAUACAUGAGAUGGUGCUCAUCUAUGCCCUUUUAAGGUCAAUUACAUCUUACUAUAUCACUGAAAAUAUCACUGCCAUCUGGAUAGCUGGACAUGUUUUAUUGGGAGAACACCUCUUCCUUUUAUUUUAUACUUGUGCACUAGUAGCUUGGUUUAGUAAUAAAUAUGUGAGACCUUUUGUUUGGGAAAAAAAAAAGGGAGUGAGGAGAGUGUAGAAGGGAGAGGCCAUAUGGCAGACAGCAGCAGGAAGUUU